ACACUUUUGUAUAAUAAUCGUUUACCCCCACAGGUUGAUUGACUAUGGCGUCAGAGGAGACAGGUGUGCCUUUGGACUCAGCUGAGAACCUGGAGGACAGAAGAGCACAGGAGCAUAGAGCUACAGAGGGGCCAAAGACAGAGGUCCCAGCCAGUCCCAGCCAAGAUGGACCUCAGGUGACGGCAGCCUUGACGACAAUGUAACCUCCUGUUCCGAGGAUGUGAGGACGACGGUCCGAUGUCAGAAUGGUUCAGAUAAUAACUACAGAACGAAGCCAACAUCAGCGUGAGCUUUGGUUGCGAAUGGUAUGAACUUUUAACUCUUAUUCACUACAGAAGUGAUACCUCCUAGUCGUUGAGUUAGCAACAGCCGCUGCAAACGAGGUUUAGAAAGGAACAGACAGAGUAUCCCGUCUACCACACAACAACGUUACUACAACGUAUUCAAUUUACCAGCAGAGACAUUCUUCAAAGGACAAAGGACUCGGUUGGGCAACACGGCCUUCCAUCUACCACCAACCUGCCUUUACGAUAGCACAGCUUCGCCCUUUGUUCCUCAGUCUUCCCGCUCUUUCACUCAAAUCCAGACCUUUUCUUUUGUGUAACAAGCUGUCAUAUCUGUUCCGCCCGCUAGGGACGUUUUCCUUUAUGACAUAAUUUGUAAUCAAGUUAUGAUUUAAUUAUGUGUAAUUCUGUGUGAUUAGUUAGGUAUUUAGUAAAUAAAUAAUUAAACACAAUUUUGCAUUGCUCAUUCAACUUGUUAGCCAGGGUUCGUGCAGAUAACCAAGAAUUUACAACUUUCAGAUGAGACUGAAUUAAGAUGACGAUUAAUAUUGACUGCUAUUGAUGUAAAAUAUUACUAGGUCUUUAAGAGAUUAUUCGGAAGAUAACAGCUCUAUAAAUAUUAUUUUGUGGUGCCCGACUCUCUAGUUAAUUACAUUUACAUGAUUAGCUUAAUCAGGUAAUAUUAAUUACGGAUAAAUUAUUUUAUAGAAUAGCAUGUUAUAUCACUUAAUCCGGCAUAGCCAAAGACACGACACUGAUAACACAG
rnacentral:lncRNA from 13 species